UACGUAGGGGGCGAGCGUUGUCCGGAUUUAUUGGGCGUAAAGAGCUCGUAGGCGGUUCGAUAAGUCGGACGUGAAAUCUCCACGCUCAACGUGGAGGGGCCGUUCGAUACUGUCGUGACUCGAGUCCGGUAGGGGAGUGUGGAAUUCCCGGUGUAGCGGUGAAAUGCGCAGAGAUCGGGAGGAACACCCGUAGCGAAGGCGGCACUCUGGGCCGGUACUGACGCUGAGGAGCGAAAGCGUGGUGAGCGAACAGG
rnacentral:rRNA from 1 species